AAAAGUGAAAGACGGUCUUGCUGUCACUUAUAGAUGGAUCCGCGCUGCAUUAGCUAGUUGGUAAGGUAACGGCUUACCAAGGCAACGAUGCAUAGCCGACCUGAGAGGGUGAUCGGCCACACUGGAACUGAGACACGGUCCAGACUCCUACGGGAGGCAGCAGUAGGGAAUCUUCCGCAAUGGGCGAAAGCCUGACGGAGCAACGCCGCGUGAGUGAUGAAGGUCUUCGGAUCGUAAAACUCUGUUAUUAGGGAAGAACAUAUGUGUAAGUAACUGUGCACAUCUUGACGGUACCUAAUCAGAAAGCCACGGCUAACUACGUGCCAGCAGCCGCGGUAAUACGUAGGUGGCAAGCGUUAUCCGGAAUUAUUGGGCGUAAAGCGCGCGUAGGCGGUUUUUUAAGUCUGAUGUGAAAGCCCACGGCUCAACCGUGGAGGGUCAUUGGAAACUGGAAAACUUGAGUGCAGAAGAGGAAAGUGGAAUUCCAUGUGUAGCGGUGAAAUGCGCAGAGAUAUGGAGGAACACCAGUGGCGAAGGCGACUUUCUGGUCUGUAACUGACGCUGAUGUGCGAAAGCGUGGGGAUCAAACAGGAUUAGAUACCCUGGUAGUCCACGCCGUAAACGAUGAGUGCUAAGUGUUAGGGGGUUUCCGCCCCUUAGUGCUGCAGCUAACGCAUUAAGC
rnacentral:rRNA from 1 species